rnacentral:rRNA from 1 species
AGUGAACGCUGGCGGUAGGCCUAACACAUGCAAGUCGAACGGCAGCACAGUAAGAGCUUGCUCUUACGGGUGGCGAGUGGCGGACGGGUGAGGAAUACAUCGGAAUCUACUUUUUCGUGGGGGAUAACGUAGGGAAGCUUACGCUAAUACCGCAUACGACCUACGGGUGAAAGCAGGGGGUCUUCGGACCUUGCGCGAUUGAAUGAGCCGAUGUCGGAUUAGCUAGUUGGCGGGGUAAAGGCCCACCAAGGCGACGAUCCGUAGCUGGUCUGAGAGGAUGAUCAGCCACACUGGAACUGAGACACGGUCCAGACUCCUACGGGAGGCAGCAGUGGGGAAUAUUGGACAAUGGGCGCAAGCCUGAUCCAGCCAUACCGCGUGGGUGAAGAAGGCCUUCGGGUUGUAAAGCCCUUUUGUUGGGAAAGAAAAGCAGCAGGUUAAUACCCCGCUGUUCUGACGGUACCCAAAGAAUAAGCACCGGCUAACUUCGUG